rnacentral:rRNA from 1 species
AUUGAACGCUAGCGGCAUGCCUUACACAUGCAAGUCGAACGAGAGGCGGACGGGUGAGUAAUGUAUCGGCACGUGCCCAAUAUAGGGGGAUAACUACUGGAAACAGUGGCUAAUACCGCAUACUAUCGUAUCGGCCGAUAUGGGAUUAGCUAGUAGGUGGGGUAAAGGCUCACCAAGGCCACGCUCCUUAGCUGGUCUGAGAGGAUGACCAGCCACAAUGGGACUGAGACACGGCCCAGACUCCUACGGGAGGCAGCAGUGGGGAAUAUUGGACAAUGGGCGCAAGCCUGAUCGAGCCAUGCCGCGUGUAUGAAGAAGGCCUUCGGGUUGUAAAGUACUGUUGGCAGAGAAGCGUUAUCUGCAGAAGAAGCACCGGCUAACUACGUGCCAGCAGCCGCGGUAAUAC